rnacentral:snoRNA from 1 species
AGCGCAACAACCCUUGGGCCGGUGGCGCACUGUCGGUGCCGCGCGUGGCGCCC